ACUCCUACGGGAGGCAGCAGUGGGGAAUUUUGGACAAUGGGCGCAAGCCUGAUCCAGCAAUGCCGCGUGCAGGAUGAAGGCCUUCGGGUUGUAAACUGCUUUUGUACGGAACGAAAAGGCUCUGGCUAAUACCUGGGGCUGAUGACGGUACCGUAAGAAUAAGCACCGGCUAACUACGUGCCAGCAGCCGCGGUAAUACGUAGGGUGCGAGCGUUAAUCGGAAUUACUGGGCGUAAAGCGUGCGCAGGCGGUUUUGUAAGACAGGUGUGAAAUCCCCGGGCUUAACCUGGGAACUGCACUUGUGACUGCAAGGCUGGAGUACGGCAGAGGGGGAUGGAAUUCCGCGUGUAGCAGUGAAAUGCGUAGAUAUGCGGAGGAACACCGAUGGCGAAGGCAGUCCCCUGGGCCUGUACUGACGCUCAUGCACGAAAGCGUGGGGAGCAAAACAGGAUUAGAUACCCUGGUAGACUGUC
rnacentral:rRNA from 1 species